CCUCGGUGGGGUGCACACUUUUGGGUACAGAAGGGAGGGUGACUGUCUUUUCUGCAGCAGGCACUUCUUGGUAAGGUCAUAGUUUGGGAAGCGGAGGAGAAUGUGGGCCCCAGAAUGGGGUACUGGCAGGGCUCGAUCUUUCGUCCUUGAAACUCAUUGUCUGUGUUAGGCUCUGCAGAAGUAGGCCCAGAGAUGACUUUCAUAGUUCAGAUCCUGUGAGGUAUCCCAGGAAACACAGGCGAUGGCUGGGCCUGGGAAGGCAGUCUUUGUGCACAGAAGUCACCGUUGUUUUGGUUCUCUAUCAGAGCAGUCGUAUACAAUUUCCUGACCGUUGUAUCAAUC
rnacentral:lncRNA from 1 species